GGUUGAUCCUGCCGGACCCCACUGCUAUCGAGAUGGGACUAAGGUAUGCUAGUCGAACGACCGGAACUAUGUCUGGGAGUGGCACACUGCUCAGUAACACGUAGCUAACCUACCCUUAGGACGUGGAUACCCCCGAGAAAUUGGGGUUAAUCCGCGAUAGAUGUAAUGUCCUGGAAUGGUAUUACGUCUAAAGGUAUUUCAUACAUGUUUGAAAUAUGCCUGAGGAUGGGGCUGCGGCCGAUCAGGCUGUUGGUGAGGUAAUGGCUCACCAAACCUUUGACCGGUACGGGCCAUGAGAGUGGUAGCCCGGAGAUGGACACUGAGACAAGGGUCCAGGCCCUAAGGGGCGCAGCAACCGCGAAACCUCCACAAUGCACUCACGUGCGAUGGGGCUAUCUCGAGUGCCACCUGAUGAAGGUGGCUUUUCCUAGGUCUUCAAAGCCUUGGGAAUAAGAGGGGGGCAAGACUGGUGUCAGCCGCCGCGGUAACACCAGCCCCUCGAGUGGUGGGGAUGAUUAUUUGGCCCAAAGCGUCCGUAGCCGGCCGAGCAAGUCUUCCGUUAAAUCCAGCGUCUCAAGCGUUGGACUGCGGGAGAUACUACACGGCUAGAGAGUGGGAGAGGUCAGCGGUAUUCUGGGGGUAGGGGCGAAAUCCUUUGAUCCCCGGAGGACCACCAGUGGCGAAGGCUGCUGACUAAACACGUCUGACGGUCAGGGACGAAAAGCUGGGGUAGCGAACCGGGAUUAGAUACCCGGGGUAGUCCCAGCCGUAAACGAUGCAU
rnacentral:rRNA from 1 species